UACAGAGGGUGCAAGCGUUUAAUCGGAAUUACUGGGCGUAAAGCGUGUGCAGGCGGCCUGUUAAGUCCGAUGUGAAAUCCCUGGGCUCAACCCAGGAAUUGCAUUGGAAACUAGCGGGCUGGAGUUCGGGAGAGGGUAGUGGAAUUCCUGGUGUAGAGGUGAAAUUCGUAGAUAUCAGGAGGAACACCGGUGGCGAAGGCGGCUACCUGGACCGAUACUGACGCUGAUACACGAAAGCGUGGGGAGCAAACAGG
rnacentral:rRNA from 1 species